CUCCUUUUCCAUUUUUCAUGCAAUCUAUCUAUGCUGUCUUGCUAUCCCGUAUCCCUCCUACCCAAACACAGAGUGCACUUUCUCAUAUAGGCUAUCAACGAAGGGAAGCCUCCUGGGGAUUCACUCAGUAAGUGAGAACAAAUAGCAUUUGUUUCAGCUCCUGGAGGAAAUGUUUGUAUUCUCAGGUUUUUUUUCCAGGGUUGGGGAGUAUUGGAAUCCUAACCAUUUUUCUAGGUGCACUGAAAAAAAAAAAUUAAGCUGCAAUGAAAAUUAAGCAUUACUAUGCAUUUCCAAAAAAAGAGAUUAUAAAUAAUGCUCUUUGAAUUCCAAGAUGAAAAGUGACUGAACGCAAGUAGCAGCAUUCUCCUGUCAAGCUGAUCUUUUCAUGAGUAGGAAGGGAAGCAGGGAGUAUUCGUCCUCUUUGCAGUGGAUGCACUGAGCACCUCAUCUUUAAGGAAAACAUGGGUAUAUUUUCACCCUCUCAAAACAUAUUAAAGUGGAAAGAUCCUCGAUACCCUCAACAAUCUUCAUCAAAAAGCAGGCAGCUGACAGAAAGGAAAUCCUCAGUGGUGCAGCACACCACUGGGUACCCACGGGCUCCAACCCUCCUGAAGCUGUUUAACGACGAAGUGCAUCACUAUUACUUCCACUUCCAGAGUAAUUAAAGUGGAAUUUAUGACUCAAAUAUCCAAAAAAAAAAGCUAUUUCACAGAUGAUUUGCAACCGUGCUUAAGCAUAGGCAUUCAUAACAUUCACCAAUCCUUUGUAUUUAGCAUUCUGCAGUGGAACAGACACAAAAUCCAGAUUAAUGCAUUAAUGUGCAUUUAAUUUACCCAUUACUGAGACAUUCCAUUUAUAUCUUUAAGGGUUAAAACGUCUACAACCACUGCAUGUGCUGGAAAAGAUAUCACACUUGCAGACUGAAUAUUAAUUCUGUCUAAGAGUCGACAUCACUUAUGUUGUCUUUUUGCCAUUAUAGCUUUUAAGUAUCACUAUAAGAGUUUUAUUACACUAGUCUAUGUACAUAUGAAGUUCAAUAUAACCUAUGUCUUCUAGAAGCAAAAUUACAUUUUAGUGUGGUUGCUCCAUAUACGAAAUGUUCCUUCUUGUUGCUGUGAUAGAACUACUACUUACUGGAGUGAAUUUUGCCUGCGAUGGGAGAAAGGAAGGACUCCUCCCAAAAGGAGGAGCUGAACUCUCCCAUCAUGAGGAGUUCAGCUAACCUGUUGCCUGUGUAUUUACAGCCAACUUUGGAGAAACAUUUUGUACUUUGCAGGAUAAUGCAGUCCUUUGCAGUAACAACCAUAGAUGUAAGUGACAAAUACAACACAAUCAAGUGAAAAUCUAUUUCAAAGAGAAGACAAAUUGCCCCAGACCUCAGUAAUUAUCUCUCUGGGAUUCAUAAUCAACUUUAAGUUAGUAAUUGGUUUAAUAUCUCCUCUUUGAAAUUUUCAAUAAUUAAAUAACUGUCUCUUAAAAAUUACAUUCUUAAGCACAUUUCAGAAUCAUUAUUUAAUAAAACAAUGUUAGGUAAGCUAUGAGUGGGGAAAAAAAAAAAAGAGAAAGCACACAUAGUGGUCCUGAGAAGGCUUUCACAACACAGAAUUAUCACUGACAGGAGAAGUUCCUCGAGUGGUGUCACAAACGGUCCUUUGGUGCAUGCAAUCCAUCAAGAGUGGAAGAGAUGAGGGAGCACAAAGCUGAGCACAAGGAACCAGGUUUUUCCCUUCAUAAGACAGCAUCCCUCUCAACCAGAAUGAUGUGAAGUGUUUUGGCUUCACAUAGCCCUGAAAGACCUUCUUGUUCCUCUUGCAUGGAAAGCUUCCAGAGAGACUGCAAACUCAAGUCUAGCAUUUCUCACUGACUGGGUGAUGCAAAAGGUAUAUGGGGGGGGGGGGGGGGGAGGAUGUUAACUUGCAAUAAAUGUCUCAUACUGGCAAAAAGUAAUUGCAAAUCUCAAAAGCUGAGGUGGCAAUAACAUGCUGAAACAUCACUUGUAGGACUGAAUUAUCUCCCUCCUCAGCUCUGCAAAGUCAGAACAGAAAAAUGUAUCAUAUAUGAGAUUGAUUGUAUAAUAUUUGCCUGUUCUCAAUCCAGAAACCAAUUACCAGGAAUUAUAUUUUAAAACAAGACAAAGUAAUUCAGCCCCUUGCCUUCCAGGAUUUAUAGGUAGCUUUAAAUCUAUCUUCUUGUCCAUAACCUUCUUUCAAUAAAGCACAGCUUUUCUCUGAGGGAAGCAGAGGAAAGGUAGCUCUUGUACCUUACCAUACCCCUACAGCCCUGCUCCUCCAGCUUAUCUGCUGGUUACCGCAUUAUUCUCCUUCCUUCAAGUUUAAUAUUCUAUUUAAAGAGCCAACCCAAAGCUACCCAGGGGCAGUUGCAUCAGCUCUUUAAUUAAAUAGGUGUAACAGCACAUGACCAACUCCAACAGAAGCCGUUCUCCAGCCUGCAGCCACAACUCACUGCCUGCUGCCCUGAGCACCACAGCUGAGCUGCUUGUAGUCAGUUUAGCCAGUGCUAUUUUCUUCCCUCUUUUUCCAGUAGAUUUGUUUUCUUUCUCUAUUCCCUUCCCUUACACUGGAGGCCAGUCUCACAGAACAGAGAGCAUGAUGUACUCCUCACCCAGCUGCUCCCUUCCCCUUCCAGCCCAACACUGAUCCUCAUUUUCCUUGUGGUGACUCAGAAGCAUCUUCAGAGUUUUCAUGGGCCAUCUCCUACUCUCACUUACAAGAGAAAAGAGCAUGAAGCAAAUCUAUUGCCAGCAUUAACAGAACCACCACGUAACUCAGUGUCACCAGGCUGUGCAUGAGGGAAGCUCACCACACCGUGCUGCUGGGCACCACAAGGAAAGGCCUUGGUUGAACCACACGUUCCAUUCUGGAAGGCCAAAUUCCAUUGUGUUCAUCCUUACCAGUGCCAUCCAGUGUCAUUCCACAUCACUCAGUUCAGUUUUCCACAGCCCAUGAGCUGUCCUGGCUUGCUCUGCUCCACAUCAUCCAAGCCAUCACAUCACUCCUGUGGGAAGCUGCUCAUCAGCUAUCGUUGCCCCUAGGUCUUCUUUAAGCUCUGCUUUCCUGUUGAGGGUUUUAUACUGAGCAGUACCCACCUUGUCCAAAUACAUAUAUCUAUUCAUAUUUCAGGAUUAUUCAUGGCACUGGUUGCUUUUUUGUACUUUUUCCUCAUUGUGUUAUUUUUUCCUCUUCACACACUUCAGCAGUCUCU
ensembl:lncRNA